rnacentral:tRNA from 1 species
UGCCGCGUGCAGGCUGGAAUUGCGCUCAUAACCCGAAGGUCGUCAGUUCAAAUCUGACCCCCGCAACCA